rnacentral:antisense_RNA from 1 species
CUUGACCGACCCCAGGUACAGCGGUUCCGAGCGGUCCUGCCCGUAGGUGGCCAGCAGGGCUUGGGCCUC